UAGGGUAGCCUCUGACCCUACUUAGUUCAACCAAAUGAACUAAAAUUUCAAAAGUAGUGUGAAUUCUGAAAGUUUAGUUCACUUUGUUGAACUAAGGAGGGUCGGAGGGUACCCUC
rfam:Triticum aestivum genome assembly, contig: Triticum_aestivum_CS42_TGACv1_scaffold_146441_2BS